rnacentral:rRNA from 1 species
UACGUAGGGGGCAAGCGUUGUCCGGAUUUAUGGGGCGUAAAGAGCGUGUAGGCGGCCUGGUAGGUCAGCUGUGAAAACUCGAGGCUCAACCUCGAGACGUCGGUUGAAACCACCUGGCUAGAGUCCGGAAGAGGAGAGUGGAAUUCCCGGUGUAGCGGUGAAAUGCGCAGAUAUCGGGAAGAACACCGGUGGCGAAGGCGGGUCUCUGGGCCGAAAUUGACGCUGAGGAGCGAAAGCGUGGGGAGCGAACAGG